GACGAACGCUGGCGGCGUGCCUAAUACAUGCAAGUCGAGCGAACGGACCUAACACUUUUUCCUCGGUUUUUACGGUCGGACGGGUAGGGACCGCUUGGAUACCCACCCUUUAGGACCGGGCUACCUUGGGUAAACUGUCGCUAAUACCGAAUAUCUUUUUCAACCGCAGGGUUCAAAUGGAAAGACCGGCUUUUAUGCCCCUGCGUAAGGAGUCCCUGUGGCAUUGGCUAGUUGUUAAGGUAACGGCUUACCAAGGCAACGAUGCAUAGCCGACCUGAGAGGGUGAUCGGCCACACUGGAACUGAGACACGGUCAAGACUCCUACGGGAGGCAGCAGUAGGGAAUCUUCCACAAUGGGCGAAAGCCUGACGGAGCAACGCCGCGUGAGUGAUGAAGGUCUUCGGAUCGUAAAACUCUGUUAUUAGGGAAGAACAUAUGUGUAAGUAACUGUGCACAUCUUGACGGUACCUAAUCAGAAAGCCACGGCUAACUACGUG
rnacentral:rRNA from 1 species